AUUUGGUGUUCGACCCGAAAGAUAUAGUUGGACAAUUUUGGGCCUUUGUUCCCAUAUUUGCAAGUCAGUUCAUCCCUCUGCCCUCUCCGACGAUCCACUACGAGAACUCGCGGCGAAGCGCCGGAAAUGACGAAGUUCUUCGCGUUUGAGAAGAUGCACAGGCAUUCAGGUGAAAGAAUGAGGGAUCAACUUUCUAGGUGCACCUCGUCCAGGAGUGUCUAAAGAAUCCAUUUGAUGUAUAGUGGUAGAUGGUGCAAACGUUGGCCUCACUAAUCAGCCUAGUUAUGAUUUCUCCCAGAAAAAAAACAUUCUUUGGUAGCCUUUUUUUGUAUCACCAAGAAAUUUAGCUGGGGCCAUUCCAAAUGACUAAUUGCAUGCAACCUUCAAGACUCGGGGAUAAUGGGCCAGCUGCUCUUCCAUUCUCCACUUUAAUACCAGGCUCGAUGCAGGUUUAUCUUGCAGUGACGGUAUGUUAGCAACAUUGUCCAUCUAGUCCAGAGUAAAUUCUUCUCCACAUUGAUCAAUCCACGUGCUCAAGUGAAAUGACUUGAAGCUUUUGUUAAUUUGGCCUCAAAGCUGAAGUGGUUCAGGGAAAUUUAUAUGGUGCUUGGUUUUCUAAAUUUACCAUUUUGGCUCCUGAUGUGUUUCUGUUUGUUUGUCUUUCUGACUGUGCCUUUUUUAUUUACAAAGGGUUGAUUGAUCGAUCAAUAAUGCCUCAACUUUGCUGCAGGGGAAUAUCAUGGGAGUGUAUGUUUUAAUCGUAGAUUGUUAUUUUGAUUUUAUUUCAUGUUCACCACUUGAAAAGAUAAAUGAAGUUAUGCCUGAUAA